rnacentral:rRNA from 1 species
UACGGAGGGUGCGAGCGUUAAUCGGAAUUACUGGGCGUAAAGGGUGCGCAGGUUGUUAUGUAAGUUGACUGUGAAAGUCCUGGGCUCAACCUAGGGAUGUCAGUUAAGACUGUGUAACUUGAGUAUGGGAGAGGGUAGUGGAAUUUCCGGUGUAGCGGUGAAAUGCGUAGAUAUCGGAAGGAACACCGGUGGCGAAGGCGUCUACCUGGCCUGAUACUGACACUGAAGCACGAAAGCGUGGGGAGCAAACAGG